rnacentral:rRNA from 1 species
UACGUAGGGGGCUAGCGUUGUCCGGAAUCAUUGGGCGUAAAGAGCGUGUAGGCGGCCAGACAGGUCCGUUGUGAAAACUGGAGGCUCAACCUUCAGACGUCGACGGAAACCGUCUGGCUAGAGUCCGGAAGAGGAGAGUGGAAUUCCUGGUGUAGCGGUGAAAUGCGCAGAUAUCAGGAAGAACACCGAUGGCGAAGGCAGCUCUCUGGGACGGUACUGACGCUGAGACGCGAAAGCGUGGGGAGCGAACAGG